AGAGUUUGAUCCUGGCUCAGAUUGAACGCUGGCGGCAUGCCUUACACAUGCAAGUCGAACGGUAACAGGUUAAGCUGACGAGUGGCGAACGGGUGAGUAAUAUAUCGGAACGUGCCCAGUUGUGGGGGAUAACUGCUCGAAAGAGCAGCUAAUACCGCAUACGACCUGAGGGUGAAAGCGGGGGAUCGCAAGACCUCGCGCAAUUGGAGCGGCCGAUAUCAGAUUAGCUAGUUGGCGGGGUAAAAGCCCACCAAGGCGACGAUCUGUAGCUGGUCUGAGAGGACGACCAGCCACACUGGGACUGAGACACGGCCCAGACUCCUACGGGAGGCAGCAGUGGGGAAUUUUGGACAAUGGACGCAAGUCUGAUCCAGCCAUGCCGCGUGCGGGAAGAAGGCCUUCGGGUUGUAAACCGCUUUUGUCAGGGAAGAAACGCUCUGGGCUAAUACCCUGGGGUAAUGACGGUACCUGAAGAAUAAGCACCGGCUAACUACGUGCCAGCAGCCGCGGUAAUACGGAGGAUCCAAGCGUUAUCCGGAAUCAUCGGGUUUAAAGGGUCCGUAGGCGGUUUAGUAAGUCAGUGGUGAAAGCCCAUCGCUCAACGGUGGAACGGCCAUUGAUACUGCUAAACUUGAAUUAUUAGGAAGUAACUAGAAUAUGUAGUGUAGCGGUGAAAUGCUUAGAGAUUACAUGGAAUACCAAUUGCGAAGGCAGGUUACUACUAAUGGAUUGACGCUGAUGGACGAAAGCGUGAGUAGCGAACAGGAUUAGAUACCCUGGUAGUCC
rnacentral:rRNA from 1 species